UGGGGAAUAUUGGGCAAUGGGCGCAAGCCUGACCCAGCAACGCCGCGUGAAGGAAGAAGGCCCUCGGGUUGUAAACUUCUUUUAUUCGGGACGAAGAAGUGACGGUACCGAAUGAAUAAGCCACGGCUAACUACGUGCCAGCAGCCGCGGUAAUACGUAGGUGGCAAGCGUUAUCCGGAUUUACUGGGUGUAAAGGGAGCGUAGACGGAGCAGCAAGUCUGAUGUGAAAGGCAGGGGCUCAACCCUGGACCUGCAUUUGAAACUGUAGUUCUUGAGUGAUGGAGAGGCAGGCGGAAUUCCGUGUGUAGCGGUGGAAUGCGUAGAUAUACGGAGGAACACCAGUGGCGAAGGCAGCCUGCUGGACAUUAACUGACGCUGAGGCGCGAAAGCGUGGGGAGCAAACAGGAUUAGAUACCC
rnacentral:rRNA from 1 species